rnacentral:lncRNA from 1 species
GCUUUAUUGAAAUCACAGCUUAAAAUAUUCGUCAAGUUGGAGUCUAAUAUGAACAUACACGUCAUGACAGUAUGAGUAAUCUGGACUGAAAAAAUAAGAAAGUGUAUAAAGACAGACACACAAGUCCGCAAAAGAUAGAGAAAAGGAUAAAGCAAAAUAUAUCAAAGACAUUCACGCCGAACUGGUACAAUGUCAAAAGGAUGCGUCAAGAGCAAAGACUAAUGGAAGUAUGGGUUAGAAGGGUCCAGUCAGCAACAACCUGAUAUUAGUUUUUAUUAUACGGUACCAUUGUUUUGUAAUUUAAAAAUCAGUAGAAACUUGUUUUAAGAGGAGUUGAAAUAUUUAGAUUAAUGGUGGGUUAAAAUUCAACUAAAGAUAAAAUUCAAAUUCACCAACAAGUAUAGAAGUUAAAAAAAUUGUCAAUGGAAUGACUUAAAAUGUCAUAUCCAUAAGAAGCUCUACCUCUUAAGAGAUGAACUUUCUUUGAAAGUAAAAAUGACAUAAUUAAUCACUUGCAAUGUAGUAGACCGAAAGGUGAUUUCAGGAUUUUCCCUAGUAAAAGAAAAAGAUGUCAGAAGCACACCAGAGUUUUUUCACCUUCCAUUGUCCAAAGUCUAUUACGCGAAAACGAUAAGACAUAGAUCGUUCUAGAAAACAUCGAGUUAGACCCCAAAGGGGAACGAUCACCCCUUUUUUUUUUUUUUUUUUUUUUUCUUUUUUUUUGCUUUCAAAUUUAUAUAUUAGUAGGUGGUUUGAAACCCAAAUCAAAUCCAGAAUCGAGAAUGGUGAAGGAAUUAGAGUUGAAGGAGAUACCAGGGGAAUACGGUAACUGGAUCACGGCUAUCCAGGAUAGAAUUCAGUUCUACAAGGAUAACGAUGCCUUCUUCCAGACCAAAAAAGAUCAACACAACUCCACAGUUUAUCGUUCCAACAUGCCGCCAGGUCCGUUCAUGGCCAAGGACCCAAAGUGCAUCGUGCUUCUCGACGCCAACAGCUUUCCCGUUCUAUUCGACGUGUCAAAAGUGGAGAAGAAAGAUGUCUUGACCGGUACUUAC